rnacentral:rRNA from 1 species
UUUGGAUUCUGGCUCAGAUUGAACGCUGGCGGGAUGCUUUACACAUGCAAGUCGAACGGCAGCACGGACUUCUGGUCUGUAGCGAGGGCGAACGGUGGAGUAAUGUAUCGGAACGUGCCUAGUAGCGGGGAUAACUACGCGAAAGCGUAGCUAAUACCGCAUACCGCCCUUCGGGGGAAAGGACCUUUCGGGCCUCGCACUAUUAGAGCGGCCGAUAUCGGAUUAGCUAGUUGGUGGGGUAACGGCUCACCACAAGGAUGAUCCGUAGCUGGUUUGAGAGAGGACGACCAGCCACACUGGGACUGAGACACGGCCCAGACUCCUACGGGAGGCAGCAGUGGGGAAUUUUGACAAUGGGGGAACCCUGAUCCAGCCAUCCCGCGUGUGCGAUGAAGGCCUUCGGGUUGUAAAGCACUUUGGUAGGAAGAAACGGCACGGGAUAAUACCCGUGCAACUGACGGUACCUGCAGAAUAAGCACCGGCUAACUACGUGCCAGCAGCCGCGGUAAUACGUAGGGUGCAAGCGUUAAUCGGAAUUACUGGGCGUAAAGCGUGCGCAGGCGGUUCGGAAAGAAAGAUGUGAAAUCCCAGAGCUUAACUUUGGAACUGCAUUUUUAACUACCGAGCUAGAGUGUCAGAGGGAGGUGAAUCGCAAGGUGAGCCGCGGAUAUGCGGAGGAACACCGAUGGCGAAGGCAGCCUCCUGGGAUAACACUGACGCUCAUGCACGAAAGCGUGUGGAGCAAACAGGAUUAGAUACCCCGGUAGUCCACGCCCUAAACGAUGUCAACUAGCUGUUGGGGCCUUCGGGCCUUGGUAGCGCAGCUAACGCGGUGAAGUUGACCGCCUGGGGAGUACGGUCGCAAGAUUAAAACUCAAAGGAAUUGACGGGGACUCGCACAAGCGGUGGAUGAUGAUUGUUCGAUGCAACGCGAAAACCUUACCUACCCUUGACAUGUCUGGAAUCCCGAAGAGAUUUGGGAGCUGCAAGAGAACCGGAACACAGGUGCUGCAUGGCUGUCGUCAGCUCGUGUCGUGAGAUGUUGGGUUAGUCCUGCAACGAGCGUGCAACCCCCGUCAUUAGUUGCUACCAAAGGGCACUCUAAUGAGAUCAGCGGUGACAAACCGGAGGAAGGUGGGGAUGACGUCAAGUCCUCAUGGCCCUAGGUAGGGCUUCACACGUCAUACAAUGGUCGGGACAGAGGGUCGCCAACCCGCGAGGGGGAGCUAAUCCCAGAAACCCGAUCGUAGUCCGGAUCGCAGUCUGCAGCAACUGACUGCGUGAAGUCGGAAUCGCUAGUAAUCGCGGAUCAGCAUGUCGCGGUGAAUACGUUCCUGGCCUUGUACACACCGCCCGUCACACCAUGGGAGUGGGUUUUACCAGAAGUAGUUAGCCUAACCGUAAGGAGGGCGAUUACCACGGUAGGAUUCAUGACUGGGGUGAAGUCAACAAGGUAG